rnacentral:sRNA from 1 species
GCAAGUUAUAAGUCAGAUGUAAACAUAUUUUAAAGAGAUAAAGAAAGAAAGAGAAGAGCAUCAGGCUAUAAAUCUGUAGCUAGCUGCAGCACUGACUCUAAGACAUAAUGUGUGUUUCUUUUUUUACUUUUCCUCUCUGAUUCCCACUUGCGACGAAAUAUCGGUUGAGAUGAACCUGUCCGUGUUCUUACCUGUUCUUGUGAUCUUCGUGUGAUCUGAUUUCAAUUUUUUUUCGCCCUUCUCCUGUUCGUUUUCUUGUCUGUUCUGGCGUCUUCGCGGCAUGCGCCCUCUCCUGCGAAGCGGGCGGUGGGAGAAUUUAGGGGAAAAUUCAUGUGCGUAGAGAGGUCAAGAAGAGGCGCGGCGGUGGCCAACCUCCGACGAGUAGAGAGGCGCGGUAGUCGGCGGCUCAAGAGAGGUGCAACCUCAUCUUUUCACUUAUACUUAUCAACCAAACUUUAAACUUUAAAUUUAAAGUUGAUUUUAAAAUAUUUUUCAUGAAAAUUUAUUUUUCAACAUUUGAUUUUAGGUCACUAAGAAAACGUACAUAAACGUUUUAUUCACAAAUUAAUUUUUUAUAUAAAUAUACCAUUUGACUUAUUCUCUCAAGAAGUAUGCAGUGGAGAGACCGAAAAGAAAGGGAGAGGCUACUCACAAUGAACAUGACAUUUUUUUAUUUUUAUUUUUACUUUGAUGACUAGAUUGCCACCAUAUCGUCAGUCAGAUGAAAACCACCUCAUUCUCAUUCUGGAAUUAGCGAUGUAAAUUGAGCGGUUUUAGAAGUUGAGGGUGAGUUAUAUUCGGUUUUUGAAGUUGAGUCCCUAAGAAAUGCUGUAUGGCUAAACUAAAAAUCAUACAGCUAACAAACACUGUAGUUC